GAGUUUGAUCAUGGCUCAGAUUGAACGCUGGCGGCAUGCCUAACACAUGCAAGUCGAGCGGCAGCGCGGGGGCGACCCUGGCGGCGAGCGGCGGACGGGUGAGUAAGGCAUCGGAAUCUGCCCUGAUGUGGGGGAUAACGUAGGGAAACUUACGCUAAUACCGCAUACGACCGAGAGGUGAAAGCGGGGGACCGAAAGGCCUCGCGCAGCAGGAUGAGCCGAUGUCCGAUUAACUGGUUGGUGGGGUAACGGCCCACCAAGGCGACGAUCGGUAGCUGGUCUGAGAGGAUGAUCAGCCACACUGGGACUGAGACACGACCCAGACUCCUACGGGGGGCAGCAGUGGGGAAUAUUGGACAAUGGGGGCAACCCUGAUCCAGCAAUGCCGCGUGUGUGAAGAAGGCCUUCGGGUUGUAAAGCACUUUUAUCGGGAACGAAACGCGCCGGGUUAAUACCUUGGCGAACUGACGGUACCCGAGGAAUAAGCACCGGCUAACUCCGUGCCAGCAGCCGCGGUAAUACGGAGGGUGCAAGCGUUAAUCGGAAUUACUGGGCGUAUAGCGUGCGUAGGCGGUAAGUUAAGUCUGC
rnacentral:rRNA from 1 species